ACAGACACAUACACACACUCACACACACUGCGCGCGCGCACACACAAACACACACACCGCUGCGGACGCAUCUCUCCCCCCUUUUCCUUUCGCCGGGCUCACAUGAUUGGCGUAGCGUGUAGUGUGCUGUAUGUAAAUAUGUUGCAUGUGUGGCGCAUGUCGCACCUCCUUCACCUGGGUUCCCGCGCCCUCCUUCCCCACGCCUUUUAUGGACUUCUCUCGGCUCCGCUGUCGGUCGCCGCUUCGCUGUUGUCACCCGUAUCGCGCCUCUGCUCGUCGCCGUCUCGUUGACCAUCUCUACUCGGCGUUUCUUCUUUGUUGUGUGCGCGGCUUGCGUCCCUCCUGUGGGCUCUUUCAGUAAACCGGCUCGCAUACGCCGCACACACGCACACAUGUGCGUGCACGCGAGCAGCUGUCGCAGCCCGCGCCCUUUCUACUGCUCCGCGUGCGCCCUUUGACCUUUCCCCCUCUCCUUCUUCUCCCUCUCUGCCUUUGGUGAGUCGCGCGGAGCUGCCUCUCCAUGGGCGUCAUGGAG
rnacentral:misc_RNA from 1 species